AUAUCAUUCUGAAACACCGGUUCUCGUCCGAUCACAGAAGUUAAGCAACGUCAAGCCUUGUCAUUACCUAUAUGGGUGAUCACUUGCCAAUAACAGGUGCUGUAAG